rfam:Ictidomys tridecemlineatus contig015821, whole genome shotgun sequence.
GGGGCUGUAGCUCAUUGGUAGAGCACCUGUCUUGCACAUGUGAGGCAUUGGGUUCAAUCCUCAGCACUACCU